UACAGAGGUCCCGAGCGUUGUUCGGAUUCAUUGGGCGUAAAGGGUGCGUAGGCGGUGGGGUAAGUUGGAUGUGAAAUCUUGGGGCUUAACCUCAAAAUUGCAUUCAAUACUGCUCCGCUCGAGUUCUGUAGAGGAGAUUGGAAUUUACGGUGUAGCAGUGAAAUGCGUAGAUAUCGUAAGGAACGCCAGUGGCGAAAGCGAAUCUCCGGGCAGCAACUGACGCUGAGGCACGAAGGCCAGGGGAGCAAACGGG
rnacentral:rRNA from 1 species